rfam:Trichobilharzia regenti genome assembly, scaffold: TRE_scaffold0010035
GUACUGCUGAAGAGUCCCAAACUAGCCUGACGAAACAGCUGUUCAGUAC